CUCAACUGCCAGCCUUCUGACAUUGACAUCCCUGCUCACUUGGACCCCGAGGUAAUCACAGGUACAGGUGGACUUACGUGGAUGAGAAGACUUUCUUAGCUUAGUCAUAAUCAGGGCAGAUGAAAAACGAUUAUGGUUUUAAAAGUCAUUAAUAAUUAGAAUGGUGUAUUAUACAGUCAUAAAUAGUGGAGGUACACUCGUGAUUAACAUUCUAAGCACUGGGGCAGGGAGAAAGGUAUUUAUAGAUAUUUCUAGAGACUUUGGAAAUGAAAUGGCUUAUUUUCACCUAAACUCAACCAACUUUACAAAUAGUUACUUGAAAGGGCAAACACCUGCUUGUUAAGGGCUCUAACUUGCAAGUCAAUAGCCAAGGAGACUUUGAAAGGUCUUAGGCAUUUUAGGCUUUCUGUUACCAGCACCCCAGGCUCUGAUUUCUAUUCUGAACUCCAGAGGGCACUGCAGAGAGAUUUUUUAGAGCAAGAAGUAACUUCUCUGUUGUUGCUUCUAAUGCAAGCAUGUGUCCUUUCAAGCUGUGUGGGAAGACACAUUACUGUUUUAAAAACUCAGAUGUGAUUUUUCCCCCCCUGGCUACUCUCAUUCUUCAGUGGUACCUGGCAUGGUACAUGGUCUGAGUGCCAAGCAUCCCUUGUUGAAAAGUCAUCUCUGUUUAUGACAUUAGAUUUAACUGUGAAAGAGACUUUCUGUUGUGUCUGACGAUUUGCCCUUUAUCUUUCCAUGUUAAAGAGUAUCGCCAUCUGUGUCACUGUAUUACGCCGGCUCUCCCAGUUCUGUUCUCCUCUCUGCUGCAGAUGGUUGGGGAAGUUUACAUGAGUCUAGCUGUGAAUUCCUGCUUAUCGCUCAGAUUUUCCACAUCAUAAACAACCACAUCAUUUCAUGUCAUCAUUUCUUCUUAGUACUAAAGCCAUACUAAUCAACCAGUCAACCAGCCAGCCAGCCAGCCAGCCAGUCAGCCAGCCAGCCAACCAAUCAACCAAUCAACCAACCAACCAACCAACCAACCAACCAACCAACCAAUCAAAAACAACCAACCAACCAACCAAACAAACAAAUAACCAACCAACCAACCAAAUAAACAACCAACCAACCAAACAAACAACCAACCACCAACCAACCAACCAACCAUCCAACCACCAACCAACCAACCAACCAACCAACCAACCAUCCAACCACCAACCAACCAACCAACCAAAUAAAGAACAAACCAACCAACCAAUCAACCAACCAAUCAACCAACCAACCAACUAACCAACCAACCAACUGGCCAACCAACCACCAUCCAACCAGCCAGCCAGCCAACCAACCAAACAACCAACCAACCAAACAACCAACCAACCAACCAACCAACCAACCAACCAACCAACCAACCAAACAACCAAACCAACAAACAACCAACCAGCCAAAAUAAAUAAAAAAGGUUGUGCGAUGAGAAGGAUGCUUUUACAAGAAAAACCAGACUACCUUUCCUUAGUUACUCUGCUUGUACUGGCUGUGUCUUUUCAGUCCCAGUGCGCAGGGCGGGAGGCAGGCUCAUUGGUAGCUCUGCAGGAGCCUCAGGCCUCCUGAUUUCGCUAAUGAAUGGAAGCACUUUUCACAAAACCUGCAAACGCUGAAUCUAAAUGCCUGAUCCAAAGACAGAAGAAUUAAUUUUUAAAAUGCUUUCCUCCUUCGUUUUAUGUUAUGAGUGUUUGCCUGCAUGUAUUUUUGUGGACUGUGUUUUGUCUGGUGCCAGCGGAAGCCAGAAGAGGACAUCGGAAUCCCUGGAACUGGAGCCACUCUGUGAUGCUGGGAAGCACACCUGGGUCCUCUGGAAGGGUGGCCGUGCUCUUAACUGCUCAGCCAUCUCCGUUGUUUUAUAUUUGUACUUUUAAACUUAUAUGUUUUACUUAUAUUCUCUGUUUACAUCAUUAACCUGCCACUUUCUAAGCAUAUGUACUUGCAUGCCCUUGACUCUUUUACUUAGAUAUUCUUUAUUAACAACUUUCUGAUGUUUAUGCUUAAAAUAAAAAAAUUAGUUUUUG